GCAAUCCUCAAAAUUGGAGAAAACAUGGAGCAUAAUUUCCUUCAAUUCGACCUUGCUCCCCGACAAAUCGAACCAGAUGCAACGCACAAGACUCCAGAUUAUUUUUUCUUAACUCAAUACCUUGGUCCGCUGUUUGUAGUCCUCCCUGAUUGCAGUUAUGUUACUGUAGAUGUGUCUUAAGAGAUAAAUUUUGUUAUUUUGAGGAUUAUUUUCUACAUUCUUUCUUUCUGAGUUUGCUCUUCUUCUACUACUGCUGACUUUGAUUAUGUGCUCAAAAUAUUUUCCAGAGAUGUGAAGAAGGCAUGAGUCUCUUGGCUUGUAUAUUUUUUCCCAAAAAGGGGAAGAAGGUAUGACAUGAUAUAAAUGUAUUCUGUAAUUUACAAUUUAUGGGAGGAAAGCUUAUUUGAGUACCAUAUCUUAUUUUUCUUUUUUAACUUAGUGGAAGCACUGGCAAAUAAAUAAAUAUUUUGGAGACUUGACAUUGGGAUGAAGGUUCUGCCAAAUUUGAGAACUUUUGGUAAGGGUAAGAAUUUAGUUGCGUUGCGCAGGCAGUUCUCAAUUGAGCAAUAUGCCUGAUUUUCAUGUUUAGGGACAUGGGUUUCUUGAUUUGGUUUGGAUUUUGAUAUGCUGUGAUUAUUUUUGGUAUAUGAUGGUUUUUUCCUCUAGUCCGAGAGGAGUGCCGGGGGCCAGAAGAAUGUAACCGUUGGUGGUGGUGGUGGUGGUGGUGGUGAUUGGGAUGGAUUGGGUGGAUUUGGGAAGAAGAAGGAACAGUUUUUCCAUUUCUUUUGUUAUUUAAUAUGGUAAAUAUGAAAGUACUAUUUUAUCCUCAUUGAAAUUGAUUAUAAUGUGCUCAAAGUUAAAAUUUUUGGUCAAUUAACUGAAUUUGGAUUAAAACUGUUCAGAAGGGCUUGAUCUGCAACGUUUGAAAAUGUUAAGAGUGACGACUGCAGCAAAUCAAAAGUUUGAAAAAAAUUUGUUAGUGUUUCAAAGGUUUAAAACUUUUGCUACAAUCAUCCCUUAAUUUAGGAAUAUUAUGUGUACGUUAGGUAGGGCUACAAGCAAAAGCCAAGGGUGUGGGAUUCCUA
rnacentral:lncRNA from 1 species